rnacentral:rRNA from 1 species
CCUACGGGAGGCAGCAGUGAGGAAUAUUGGUCAAUGGGCGGAAGCCUGAACCAGCCAAGUCGCGUGAGGGAUUAAGGCCCUGCGCGUCGUAAACCUCUUUUGCCGGGGAGCAGUGCUCCGCACGCGUCCGGACCGGGAGAGUACCCGCAGAUAAAGCCUCGGCUAACCCCGUGCCAGCAGCCGCGGUAAUACGGAGGAUGCGAGCGUUAUCCGGAUUUAUUGGGUUUAAAGGGUGCGUAGGCGGGCAUUUAGGCCGGCGGUAAAAUGUCGGGGCUCAACCCCGGCCUGCCGUCGGAACUGGGUGCCUUGAGUGAGCGAGAGGUAGGCGGAAUGCGUGGUGUAGCGGUGAAAUGCAUAGAUAUCACGCAGAACCCCGAUUGCGAAGGCAGCAUACCGGGGCCCGACUGACGCUGAGGCACGAAAGUGCGGGUAUCGAACAGGAUUAGAUACCCCGGUAGUC